GGAGAGCACUCCUACGGGAGGCAGCAGUGGGGAAUAUUGCACAAUGGGCGCAAGCCUGAUGCAGCCAUGCCGCGUGUAUGAAGAAGGCCUUCGGGUUGUAAAGUACUUUCAGCAGUGAGGAAGGUGGAUAUGUAAUAGCAUAUUCAUUUGACGUUAGCUGCAGAAGAAGCACCGGCUAACUCCGUGCCAGCAGCCGCGGUAAUACGGAGGGUGCGAGCGUUAAUCGGAAUUACUGGGCGUAAAGCGCAUGCAGGUGGUUUGUUAAGUCAGAUGUGAAAGCCCGGGGCUCAACCUCGGAAUUGCAUUUGAAACUGGCAAACUAGAGUACUGUAGAGGGGGUAGAAUUUCAGGUGUAGCGGUGAAAUGCGUAGAGAUCUGAAGGAAUACCGGUGGCGAAGGCGGCCCCCUGGACAGAUACUGACACUCAGAUGCGAAAGCGUGGGGAGCAAACAGGAUUAGAUACCCUGGUAG
rnacentral:rRNA from 1 species